rnacentral:misc_RNA from 1 species
GAAAAACCAGAGAAAAUAUAGAAGCAGAGUUCACUUCAAUGAGUUUUCGAAAAGAUGAAUCUAAUGGUUCCACAAAUCCAGAUGACGAUAAUAACAUCAAGCGGACUCAACUUAAAAUUCAAUUUCACGCUACAACAAAAGAGGAUCUCGAAAACAUCGAAUCCUAUGUGAACAAAUUGAAAACAAUAGCCAAUUCUCUAGCAGAAAUCAACAGUCCCAUCUCAGAUUCAGAUAUGGUAUUGCAACUUCUUGCUGGUUUGCCAAUUCAAUAUUUACCCAUCAAAAACACAAUAUCAUCAAAGUGGCCUCUUCCAAAUUUUGAAGACGCUUGUUCCUUGGUCUACAUGCAAGAAGACAUAUUACUAAAGUCACAGGAUGAAGAGAAGCAGUCGUCUAGUUUUAUCAGCGGAGAGAAUUUUGAUGCUGCGGUAAAUGCAAUUGGAUCACUUAGUACUGUUGUUGGCGCAGUGGGUGUUGUGGCUUCGGCUGGCUGGAAAAUUUGGCAGGCGAUAGCACGCAAGUAAAUUAUUAUUAUUACAUGUAAUUAAAAGUCGACGUUUAGACGUGCAAUUUUAUUUGGAGAUUUGAAAUUAUUAGUAUGAUACUAAUAUGGAUAGAGUUUAUGUAAUUGGAUCUUCGGUUUUCUGUAAUCAAAGUUAGAGAUGCUAUCAAGUAUUUCUUUCCGUUUAGAUUUAGAGGGUG